UCAUUUCUUCUUCCAUUGAUCGUUGGACUGGUUUGUGGAAUUUCACUGAUUAUUCUUCUGCUGCUGUUGUGUCUCUACAAACAGUCAAAGGAUUCCUGCUUCAUCAGGUCUCAGAGCACAAAUCAGAGCUCUGCUACAGAUCACAUGAUCAACCAGGAUGAAGGUCAACAGAGUGAACAUCAUUCUCCUCUCCA